UGCACUUAAUUUCUGUAGUGUUGUUCUAUUGAAGCAUUAUGCUUACAGGUAUUUAGACUGCACAGUUUUAUUUCCACCUGUAGUUGAAGUUAAAAUUUGGAUUUCUGAAGAAUAUUAAAAAGUCAUAAAGCAAAUUUAUCCACAGAUAUAGGUCUUCCAGAGAAAUAGGUCUUCAGUUAAAUUUAGUUCCUUAAUAUGCCCGUCAUUUCUUCUGUUAACCUUUUCAUAUUUUUUUUAAGUUUUGUUAGUGAGGAAUUCGUUUGAUAAAUGUGUUGUGCUGCAUUUAGUAAGUGGAUGCUGUGACACUCGCCCUUUCACCUGUAGGAGGAUUCUGCUUCAGCAACAGCAUUUUUGUAGUUUUAUUAAGCAUUUAUACUCAAAAGGUUUUGUUGUGGUAUUCAGAAUUAUAUAUUAGUUGUUUAUAAAAACAAACUUUAACUGUUCCACAGUAAUGUGCGCUGAGGACACAGUCUAGACCAGAGGAGUUCAAGUCCAGGCCUUGAAGCCUGGUGUCCUGCAACUUCUGUCCCCAUCCACAUGGACAUGAUUUUAGGUGGAUCUGCAAAAAUGUUUUUGUUGUUUAGGCUGCAUGUCAGCACAGAUUUGACGUCUUGGAAGACCAGAAAUGAUCAUUUUUGAAUCCAUAUUCCAGAGUGGAAAAUUUUCAGAACCACUGCGAGCCUGUUCUUUUUUCUGUUUUCUUUUUUAAAUGAUAAUGCUGAAGCUCCAUCUCCAUCUCUCUUGAUCCCCCAUGUGUCACUUUCACAAAUGUCAUUGUGAUUUUUUUUGUGUUUCUCCAGCAGUGUUAGAGCGCCACCGAUUGGUCCAGAAUAUCAACUACUUCAAUGUUUUUUUUUUUUGUUUUGCACGUUGCAGUGUGGAUGCACAUUUUUCUUAAUUGUUUGCAAAAAUAUACUGUACUCGUUUCAUGUUCACAGGGCCUUAGCUGUGUCUCUGCUUCAGCACACCUUAAUGAAAUAAUGAGAUCAUUAAAAUGAUGCUGAAGAACUAGAUUGCUUUCUGAGGAGGAAAUUCAGCUGUUUGAUUCAGAUGUGUUGGAAUAGGAAGGUGCAGGACACUGGAUUUGAAGACUCCUGGUCUAGACUCUUAAUCUUUAAAAGCAUGUCUGGAGUUAGUUUUUCAAGCAUCUAUUCAUUAUCCUUAAAAAGUCACUUUAAGCUCAUGCUAGGGUUGUAGUGGAUGGAAAGGAAGUCGAAUUAUUGAUACGCUAUUAUUCAUUUGGCUCAAGCAUUGAAGAAAAAAAGAGUUGCUGUUGUAGCUAAAUAUCAGGGGUAAACAUGUAGGGGGAAUGUUUGGACAAAAUUAUAAUUGAUUUAAGUUGAAAUAACAGACAGAAGUAUUUUUAUUGAUAGAGGACACAUAAAAAAAGUAACCCAGUAAAAACAAUACAUUUUCAGACCUGAGAAACUUGAUGCUUACAAAGAAUGCGUGUAGUCUCCUUGAUUGUUAGGCUGCUCACUCUGGUAGUGUGACCUGCGUUGUCUUUAUCCCUCAAUGUUCGGUUGUUCCUUCCCUUUAAAACAAUAUCCCAGUUGUUUCGUAAUCCUGGUAAGGAAAGAAGAGAUGUUCUCCUUCAUACAGAGUGACUGCAGGAGUGCUCACUUCAUCUGUUCAUGCGUUCUCAGUAAGGGGCACAAAUCCAGUCAGCAUAUUAAAUUAAAGAGGCAUUUUGUUGUCAGGAAAUGAGCAGUUCUCAGAGAGAUGCAGUGCUCUGAAGUUCCACCUCGUCUGAAAUGCGUUUCUGUUUUAGAGCUGCGGCUCUGAAGGCUCUUAUUCCAUCAGAAUUUUUUUU